GGUGGUUAUAGCAGCGAGGCAACACCUGUUCCCAUUCCGAACACAGUAGUUAAGCUCGUCUGCGCCGAUGGUACUGCAUGGGCAACUGUGUGGGAGAGUAGGUCGUCGCCAUCG
rnacentral:rRNA from 1 species